CCUAUCUUUUGGAGUAUUCAACCUGUGAUCCAAGCAGAUUUGUAAAGGAAAAAAAAUACGGCAACAAACAGACCACAGGCGCUCGUCUCCUCUACCUCUCGCCCACGAACUCCUCGCCGCCGCCGCCACCUGCGCCGGCCGCUUCCGGCGACCUCCGACGCCGUGCAGCACGCUCCCGAGCUCCUCACGGUCCGAGCCUCCCUCCCCUCCGACCAGAUUCUCCGCUCCCAUCCUCUACCGCCCGCUUGCAACCCCACCCACGUGGCUAGGGUUCCGGGCAGGGCUUCGCCGGCUCGUCUCCGGCGGCCCCAGUUAUUUGGCUCAUCGUCGUAUUGCAAGUUUUUGACAUCGUUGUACACUGUUGACGUCGCCGGAAAUCCGUCUGCACGUACUCCACUGUCCGCCGGAACUUUGUCCGACCUGAGUUCUCAUUGGUUCAGACCAAUGCUAUAUGGUUCCACUCUACCCUGGCUAGGCCCACGAGAGCCAGCAAGCCGGCGGCAGCAGGGAUGGCCGGAUAGAGCCACAUGGACUCAAUGACUCAGAGGAGGAUCGGAGGGGGUGGCCUGUACGUGGAGGAUGAUUCACACACGAGCUGGCACGCCCAACAAAUGCAUUAGUUUGGCUCUUGCACUAGAGAAUGACAGAUGGUGUAUACUGACAGAGGGGGAAGAAUUCUGCAGCAUACUGUGCAAGAUCUUUAUUUACACCAAGGAGGAGGUCCAGAAGAUGAAUUCGAAAUCAUCCUGUGCCCAAGAAAGGAGGAAGUUCCAUGGAUGGUGAUUGUGCAAACAAGAAGGCACAUCUCACACAUCAUGCAAUUUAGAUAACUAACUAACUAGGUUGCUGUUCCCGUUCAGCAGCGGUUGCACCUUCUACAACAGUGAGCCCGAGCGGCAUCAGAUUCAGAUUGUCCCAUGAAGGUUUCGAGAUGGAGGCCUGUGAGGAGGAUUUCAGGGGAGAUCAUACUAUGACUAUGACAAGAGGCUGAGAUUUGACUUGCACUGUAUUGAAAAGCAGGUUCAGGAGCUCCAAGCCAAUAAACGCCAGAGCUUUGAAAAAGAUGAUGCGUUAAUAUUUUAUCAUCAUGUGACCUAUUAAUUUUGAACCGUCCGGCCACACAUUUAUUCCAAAUCGCAUAUAUGGCAUCCGAGAAGGAAGAAUCUGAGCGGGAAGUACUACACGACGAUUCUUGAGAGGAACAAGUCGACGAGGACACCAAUGAUGAUAACUCUAUCGUCGUUCUGCACCCAGACAACAUGGAUAAGAUGCAACUCUUUCUUGGCUGUGAAUCGGUCGAUGGUUGACAAGAACACCAAUGGCGACACUCAUUGUGGCUUUACACUCGGACACCAUGGACAUGUUGUAGCUCUUCCGUGGCGAGGGAUGCACUGCCUAUUCUAUUCUCCAUCACGUCCAAUAGAAAGCAAGGGAGGGGUAGUUUGAUCCUUAACGGUUUCAUGUUUUCUCUCCAGUUGAAACGCACAUGCUUUGAUGGUGGCGCUCUCUCGAGGAAGGUAGCUAAAGUUUUUGGCAAGAGUCUGUCCCAUCUUUUAUUGUAUAUCAAUGUACCAUUGGUUGAGCAAACAGCAAAGCAAGGCAGAAGAUGAUGAACAUGAAAAUGUGGGUAAAAGGAAGUCCAAUAUUCUUUCUGCUACAAGUACAGAAAGGAAUGGGAUAGAACCGUAAAUUCUGGCAUGAAGUAGGAUGAGUAUGCUAUUGUCGUGUAGUGCAAGCCUGGGUGGUUGGGAGAUGAUGCACACAGACAUGUGGAGACGAUGCGAUCCACCAAGGCGAAAGCUCAUCAAACGGAUAGGGUUAGCUUCAAAGACGAAGAAGUCCGAUGUUUUUCCUCUGCCGGACAUCCUUAAUGCCGUCCAUGCGGUUUAGACCUUACAAAGUGUAAUUUUUUUCUCCCGUUGCAACGCACGGGCUUUUUUGCUAGUUAAUUUUAAUUUUUAA